GUGAGUCAUCGAAUCUUUGAACGCACAUUGCGCCCCUCGGUAUUCCGGGGGGCAUGCCUGUUCGAGCGUCAUUACACCACUCAAGCCUAGCUUGGUCUUGGGCGUCGCGGUCCGCCGCGCGCCUUAAUGUCUCCGGCUGAGCCAUCUGUCUCGAAGCGUUGUGAUCUAUCAAAUCGCUUACGGGUAUGGGUGACUUGGGCCGUUAAACCCCCCAUUUUAAAGGUUGACCUCGGAUCAGGUAGGGAUACCCGCUGAACUUAAGCAUAUCAAUAAGCGGAGGA
rnacentral:misc_RNA from 1 species